rnacentral:lncRNA from 1 species
GGGUCCCUUUUCAGUUUAAAACAAAGCGGAAAAGCGUCUGAAAUUUUUUUUUUUUUAAAACCUGACCCCAGAGUAUGCCAGAUCCGCCACAAAUACAGGGAAUCCACUAUUCACACGGACAGAGUCUCCCCUGUAUUUGCACGGCGUCGAUCAAAUACACAGUACAACCAGGAUACAACCACAACCAGAUGAAUAUAAAGAUAACUAUACAUUCAUACAUUCACCAUUCACAUCACAGUUUUACAUUCAAGGUUUAAACAGAAAUCCACAAAAAUCUUCUGAAAGCUGUUUCCUACACAGAAACCUUUAUUCUUUUAAAAACGCUACCACGAGGGGUAGAAAAUCUUUUAUUUUACAAAAUCCAGAAAUCCACCUUUUCAAAUGUAAAUAAUUACUGAACCACAUAAACCAACUAAACUAUAUAUCAACAGAAAUACCAAGGAUAAUAACUAAAUCNN